CGAAAAUUUAAAUAAGUGGUUUAGAGUUGUUUAAAAGGUAAGAUAAGUUUAGUAACACCUCAAGCUUGACUCCGGUGACGGUUUCGGGCGUGGGGGUGUUACAUUACAUGAAAAGGCAUUGGGAUCACCCAACCCGACUAGUUUGACAAGUAACAACAAAAGCGAAAUAAAGCCAAAAACACAAAAGAGCACGACAUCCCAACAAUGAAACCAAAAUGCUCCACACAAAAUUAACAACGGGAGACCAACAAAACACGAAACCGCCAUUGCAUCAAUUGCUCGACAUGUGAUUCUAAUUCAUACCUCAGCCACAACAAAAAAUUACCACCCAAAAACAAGAUCAGCUCUCAAAACGACCACGAUCAAAUGCGACAAACAAACAACUAAUCCGAUACAUUGAUUGUAUUGUAAAAAAAACCAACUCCUUCCAAAUUAACACCAACCCCAUCACUGCAACCUCAUUACAUACCAAAAUGACCGUCCAAUCCUUGACCUCACCUGCACAAUAACCAGAUAAUAAGACCAGAAAACAACCCCAGUAGCAUUAAAAAAAACCCAACCCAACCCAGACAAACCCCAAACCAACCGCCAUCCACGUAACAAAGUACCAUACAUCCAAUUCCAAUAACACCAAUUUAUACCUCGAAAGCGAAACCAACACACAAAGAACGUAAAAAACAGCCAAGAGAAUUAAGCAAACCAAAAUAAUAGGCAGAAUUCCUACUCCAAUUCAAACAACAACAUCCAAAAAAAUUCUAACAAACAAAAACACCAACAUCACAAUCAACUAUCUAAUGGAUUCCAUAGUUGAAGUGACUGACAAAAUUUGAACAAUUAGAUCUCAAUAGAAAUGAAUAUCAUUACACCAUGACUGACUUGCAUCUUGUGUAUUUCAGAUAUCAACAAUGGCUUGCGUAUCUGAUUGCAAAAUAACGAAGAAAUAAAGCAGUAUCUGAUAAUAAAUAUUCUUAAGACACUUUACCUGCUCGGCACCAAUGACCCAGUGAUGCCAAUACCCUAGAUGGAAUGUGCAACACUGGAAUGUAGAUACAAUUACAAAAAAUUAAAAAAACCAAAUAUUAGAGAUGACCCAACGAGAAAAUGCAGAAAUUCCGAGGAAACAAACAAGAGAUAAGAAAAACAGAGAAAAUCAGUAAUCAUAAACAAAUAAAUCAGAGUAAAUUAUCAAAUGCAAUGUAGUUACCCAGCCAGAAAUGCAGAAAUUCCAAGGAAACAAACAAGCGAUAAGAAAAACAGAGAAAAUCAGUUUCCCAUAAAUUAUGGAUCCUAAUCACCGGAAGAGGAAAUUGAUGUACAAAAUGGGGGCAAGUUUCUACAAUCUAACUUUUAGGUUUAAGCACUAAAUCUUUCUCAUUCUUCUAGUUGGAGAAAAUAAAGAAAGAAGCAGUUGAAAGAUGCAAAACCCAAAUAGAUUAAACAAACAGAUGCAAAAUCUAAAUAGAUUCUUUAACAAAAAAAAAGGAAGAAGAAGAUUUGAAUUAAAGAGGUGACAAACAUGAAAUGCAGAUUAAAUAAAGCAUAAAAAUGUUACCUGGAUGAAGAAGGAAAAGGAAGAUGAAGAACGGGAUGAGGAAAAAAUUUGGUGAAAGUUUUGGAUGAUGGAAAAUGUCUUACCGAAAUCGGUAAAACAUUUUUCGUAAAAUCCAUCUCUUUUUACCCAUGCUUUGUAAAACAUUUUCCAAAUGUAAUUGAUUUUCAAUCAAACAAACACUGUAAAACCAGGAAAACAUUUCCCAGAAAAUGUUUUCCUGCCAAACAAACGCACCCUAAAUGG
rnacentral:lncRNA from 1 species